UACGUAGGGUGCAAGCGUUGUCCGGAAUUAUUGGGCGUAAAGAGCUCGUAGGCGGCUUGUCACGUCUGCUGUGAAAACUCGGGGCUCAACCCCGAGCCUGCAGUGGAUACGGGCUAGCUAGAGUGCGGUAGGGGAGACUGGAAUUCCUGGUGUAGCGGUGAAAUGCGCAGAUAUCAGGAGGAACACCGGUGGCGAAGGCGGGUCUCUGGGGCCGAUGACUGACGCUGAGGAGCGAAAGCGUGGGGAGCGAA
rnacentral:rRNA from 1 species